rnacentral:lncRNA from 1 species
AUGAACUUCCUUGGCGAGCUUCUCUGCACCCCGAGGACGGCCUCCUGCAGACACGCCCAGGCCAGCCCCUCCUGCCCUUGCCUGGGUGGGGUCAUCACUCUAACAGACUUUCCCCGGAGAGCUGUGUUGCCUUUGGCCCUCCUGUGCUGUUUUCCCUCCCACAGCCUGAAGGGUUUGGAGAAUUCCACCCUCUGCUGUUGCUUGAAGAUCUACUUCUCUGCCCAGGCAAUUCUCAAUCCCUUUCCAGUAUUUCUCAUCAUGGAUUCACAAGUUUUCAUUUUAAAGUUUCACAGCUGGAGAUCCUCACCCCAAUUCAAUAUCCUUGGGCUAAACAGAGUCCUCGUUUUAUGGCUGUUGUGAAACUAUAUUCUUGGAACAGUGACAAUCUCUGACUCCUCUAAAAUCAUGGCCAGUUGAACCCACUUGUGUCAUUGGGAUUGGCAAUAAAAACAGGUUGGAUACUAAGCAGAUACACCUGCCUCUCAGGCGGAUCUCAGGUGCCAAAAGAUGGACUGAUUGUGUGGACCAAGCUCUAUGCACUGGGAGGAAAGGAAUGAAAUGGAAUUCCCUUGGGAAGCUGGAGCCUCGGGGAGUACAGAUCAAAUAAACCUCCCUCCUGAGCAGGCUGCCCUUCCAUCUGACAGUGAAAUGAUCCAGUUUUCUUGGGCUAUGAAUAUGGAAAGACCUUUAGCCCCACCUUAGCCAACACAUGAAAAAGUAUAUGAUCCUGGCAGGAUCCCAUCUUCAAGAAGGCACUAGACCAGACCAUCUGCACCUUGUCAUUUCUUUAAUAAAAUGGGAUUUCAUUACCUUGGCCCUGUCAGCAUUUUUAUCUUGCCUGCUGCCUCUUUUCUCUCUUUCCCAUACUUGGAGUGGGUUGCCGGGUUACCUGAAAAGAGACCAUUUUUCAAAGCAAAAUAUUACAUUACUAUUACUAAUAUCACUAUUUAUACCAUAUCCUUUCUGUGCCAGUCACUGUGCUAAGUGUCCAUUAUGGACAUUAUCUUGAAUCUUCACAACAACUUCCUAAGGUAAAUAUUGUUUUUCAUUAUAGCAAAUUAUCAUUUUAAAUGAGAAGUAAACUAAGGCUUUGUCUCAUUAGAUAAUUUGCCCAAAGUCAUACAUUUCUAUGUGAUGAAACUGGAGUUUGGAAACUAAACCUGCUAAUGCCAAAUACUUUGUUUCUUCUCAUCAUUAUCAAGAGCUGAUUAAAAUGCAUUUUCAUUAAAUUGAUCUUAGCAAAAUUUAGCCAGAUUCCAUUUUGAUUCCCAAAUUAAGCAGCCACAGUGGCAUUGCAAGCCUAAACCUUGAGGUGACUGGUCAUCAGAGGGAGUCCAGCCUUCUUAAAUGCAUAACCAUUCCAUAGCAGCCUUCCAGAACCUUCCAUGGGGAUCCCUGCCUAGAAGUCUUGGCAAAAACACCUGAAAAAACCCUGCCCCCUCACCAUCAGAGCAUCUGUGCACCAGCUUUGUCCUGCCUCUCUCUUGGCUCAGCAGGGCUGACAGCAGCAAGUGGAAUUCGGCUCUGGCCCUGUGGCCUGACCCCACUGUCUGCACUGAUCAGGUGUGAGAUGCCAAUACUUGCUUUGCAAUUUUACAUUUUGAUGCCAGUGCAACCUUUGAACCAGCUGUUUAAAAAACAAAUAGCUUUAAAAACCGCUGUGAAGUGAUGACCUUAUGCAGGUUGGAUUUCUGCCCUUGGAGGGGUUGGGGUGGCUUCCCUCAGACAAGCUGCAGCUUGUGAGCCACUCAGGGGCUGGCUCUUGGUCAGUAGCUAUCGAAGUGCAAUGAGAGCCACAUCUGUUUGUAAAUCUUCAAGAGAAAUUGAGUUGGGUUUUCUUUUCUUCAAAUGUGGAGAAGAAAAGAACAUACUUCCAGUUGGUGAAGCUCUGUGUUUAUAACCAGGGUAUCUUCUCUCUUACUAACAAAUGCUUUUCAAGAAGCAUUCCAAAGAUGGCUAGACUGGAUUUUGGAAUUAGAAUAUGAAAAUACUGCCUCCAGAGAAAAUUUCAUAAAGCCCUGAUCACUCUGUGGACUUCUUUUGGCUCUGUCCCUGCUUUACACAUGGGACACAGUCUUAAACUCGAGUUCCUCAAAAGGCCAGGAGGGACCCCUUUGUUCCCUCAGUUACACCCCGCUAGAGGUUGAGCAUGGAUGAUGCUCUGUCACUUCA